GAUGAAGAACGUAGCGAAAUGCGAUAAGUAGUGUGAAUUGCAGAAUUCAGUGAAUCAUCGAAUCUUUGAACGCACAUUGCGCCCUUUGGUAUUCCUUAGGGCAUGCCUGUUCGAGCGUCAUUACAACCCUCAGGCCCCCGGGCCUGGCGUUGGGGAUCGGCGGAGCCCCCCGUGGGCACACGCCGUCCCCCAAAUACAGUGGCGGUCCCGCCGCAGCUUCCAUCGCGUAGUAGCUAACACCUCGCGACUGGAGAGCGGCGCGGCCACGCCGUAAAACACCCAACUCUUCUGAAGUUGACCUCGAAUCAGGUAGGAAUACCCGCUGAACUUAAGCAUAUCAAUAAGCGGAGGA
rnacentral:misc_RNA from 1 species